rnacentral:rRNA from 1 species
UACGUAGGGGGCAAGCGUUGUUCGGAAUUACUGGGCGUAAAGGGCGCGUAGGCGGCACGGCAAGUCGGGAGUGAAAGGCCUGGGCUCAACCGAGGAACUGCUUUCGAGACUGCCGAGCUAGAGUGCGGAAGGGGCAACCGGAAUUCCCAGUGUAGCGGUGAAAUGCGUAGAUAUUGGGAAGAACACCUGAGGCGAAGGCGGGUUGCUGGGCCGACACUAACGCUGAGGCGCGAAAGCCAGGGGAGCAAACGGG